rnacentral:lncRNA from 1 species
GAUGAUUAUAAAAUCUAUUGAUUAAUAUUACAAUAACAAAUAAAACAGAGAAGAGAUUACAAACAAAUAUCCUAACCCCUCUAACCUGUUUAUAAAAAGGGAAACAUAAUAAUAUGCUUGAUGUAAAAAAUUAUGAAGUAAUAAACCUUUUAUCUAUUUUCUAUUGUGAAGUUGUAUUGCUCAUUCAUGGGUUAUAAACCUUGAAAUAAAUUUAACAAAAAAAAUUGGUUUUCUUCAUAUAGUAACUCAAUCUUUCUGAAUACAAUAUGCAAUUGUGCAUAUCUUACCUUAGUUUUACUUUAAUAUCCUUAAAUAGUACCAAUCCCUACUUUAUUUUUCACCUUAUAUAAACAAUUAGAAUUCAUUCAAUUCAUCAAAUUUAAAUUUUAACAUACAAAAUUGAAUGUUUCAUAACAUAAUGAGAAUCUUUAUGCCAUGUGACAUGUAACACUAUUUCUGAUUGGAUGAUGUCUACCAUCAUGACAUGUAAUACCAUUUCUGAUUGGAUGAUUUCUACCACUGACGUGUAAUCAACAACUAGAGGCUCUAAAGAGUCUGUGUUGCUCACCUUGGUCUAUGUGAAUAUUAAACAGAGGAAGCAGAUGGAUUCAUGACAAAAU